rnacentral:rRNA from 1 species
GGAUUAGAUACCCUGGUAGUCCACGCCCUAAACGAUGAUAACUCGAUGUUGGCGAUAGACAGUCAGCGUCCCAGCGAAAGCGUUAAGUUAUCCACCUGGGGAGUACGCCCGCAAGGGUGAAACUCAAAGGAAUUGACGGGGGCCCGCACAAGCGGAGGAGCAUGUGGUUUAAUUCGAUGAUACGCGAGGAACCUUACCCGGGCUUGAAAGUUAGUGAAUGAUCCAGAGACGGAUCAGUCCUUCGGGACACGAAACUAGGUGCUGCAUGGCUGUCGUCAGCUCGUGUUG